rnacentral:rRNA from 1 species
AGCCAUGUGAGUCUUUGCAGUAAUGCAAGGCAGACGGCUCAGUAACACGUAGUCAAUCUAACCUAUGGACGGGGAUAAUCUCGGGAAACUGAGCAUAAUACCCGAUGGACCAUUAUGCCUGGAACGGUUAAUGGUUGAAAUGAAUUUCGCCAUAGGAUGGGACUGCGGCCUAUCAGCUUGUUGGUGAGGUAAUGGCCCACCAAGGCUAUUACAGGUACGGGCUCUGAGAGGAGAAGCCCGGAGAUGGGUACUGAGACACGGACCCAGGUCCUAUGGGGCGCAGCAGGCGAGAAAACUUUGCAAUGUGCGAAAGCACGACAAGGUUAAUCCGAGUGUUUCCUGCUAAAGGAAUCUUUUGUUAGUCGUAAAACCACUAGUGAAUAAGGGGUGGGCAAGUUCUGGUGUCAGCCGCCGCGGUAAAACCAGCACCUCAAGUGGUCAGGAGGUUUAUUGGGCCUAAAGCAUCCGUAGCCUGAUCUAUAAGUUUCCGGUUAAAUCCACAUGCUCAACAUUUGGGCUGCCGGAAAAACUGUAGAUCUAGGGAAUGGGAGAGGUAGACGGUACUCGAUAGGAAGGGGUAAAAUCCUUUGAUCUAUUGAUGACCACCUGUGGCGAAGGCGGUCUACCAGAACAUGUUCGACGGUGAGGGAUGAAAGCUGGGGGAGCAAACCGGAUUAGAUACCCGGGUAGUCCCAGCUGUAAACGAUGCAGACUCGGUGAUGCAUUGGCUUGUGGGCCAGUGCAGUGCCGCAGGGAAGCCGUUAAGUUUGCCGCCUGGGAAGUACGUACGCAAGUAUGAAACUUAAAAGGAGUUGGCGGGG